rnacentral:misc_RNA from 1 species
GAUGAAGAACGUAGCGAAAUGCGAUAAGUAGUGUGAAUUGCAGAAUUCCGUGAAUCAUCGAAUCUUUGAACGCACAUUGCGCCUUCUGGUAUUCCGGAAGGCAUGCCUGUUCGAGCGUCAUUGCUGCCCUCAAGCACGGCUUGUGUGUUGGGCCUCCGUCCUCCUCCCGGGGGACGGGCCCGAAAGGCAGCGGCGGCACCGCGUCCGGUCCUCGAGCGUAUGGGGCUUCGUCACCCGCUCUUGUAGGCCCGGCCGGCGCUUGCCGACACAUCAAUCUUUUUUCCAGGUUGACCUCGGAUCAGGUAGGGAUACCCGCUGAACUUAAGCAUAUCAAUAAGCGGAGGA